rnacentral:rRNA from 1 species
GUACUCCUACGGGACGCAGCAGUGAGGAAUAUUGGUCAAUGGGCUUACGCCUGAACCAGCCAAGUCGCGUGAGGGAAGACUGCCCUAUGGGUUGUAAACCUCUUUUGUCAGGGAGCAACGCCGGCUACGUGUAGCCGGACUGAGAGUACCUGAAGAAAAAGCAUCGGCUAACUCCGUGCCAGCAGCCGCGGUAAUACGGAGGAUGCGAGCGUUAUCCGGAUUUAUUGGGCGUAAAGCGAGCGCAGGCGGUUGCUUAGGUCUG